UACGUAGGGUGCGAGCGUUAAUCGGAUUUACUGGGCGUAAAGCGUGCGCAGGCGGCCCGUUAAGACAGGUGUGAAAUCCCUGGGCUCAACCUAGGAAUUGCGCUUGUGACUGGCGGGCUCGAGUACGGUAGAGGGGGGUGGAAUUCCUGGUGUAGCGGUGAAAUGCGUAGAUAUCGGGAGGAAUACCGGUGGCGAAGGCAGCCCCCUGGGCCUGUACUGACGCUCAUGCACGAAAGCGUGGGGAGCAAACAGG
rnacentral:rRNA from 1 species